UACGUAGGUGGCAAGCGUUGUCCGGAUUUACUGGGCGUAAAGAGCUCGUAGGCGGCACGGUCAGUCAGAUGUGAAAUCUCCACGCUCAACGUGGAGAGGUCAUUUGAUACUGCCGAGCUUGAGUCCGGUAGGGGAGUGUGGAAUUCCCGGUGUAGCGGUGAAAUGCGUAGAGAUCCGGAGGAAGACCGGUGGCGAAGGCGGUCUGCUGGGCAGUUUCUGACACUGAGGCGCGACAGCGUGGGGAGCAAACAGGG
rnacentral:rRNA from 1 species